CCAGCAUUUCAGGGCCAAGCAUCAUGAGUAAUCCCAGCAUGUAGGAUUAGUAACCUUGUUGAAACCUUAUUUAUUCCAUAAUUAUCAUUUCUAUACUCCCUCUUUACUUCAGUAUUAGAAGCAGCAAUGCUGACAGUUGGAAGAAAUUUAAUUACUAAUAUGAGAUGUUGAAAGAUAGAAGCGGGAUAAGAUGAUAUUUUAGUUGUUUGGCACUUUUUAUCAUCAUCAUGUAAAAUGGACCAUCUUGUUAGUCCACUCUAACACUCAGAGUAGCAGGAAAAUGAUAGUAUGUGUUUAAGUGACUGUAAUUUUCAUAUAAGAGCUUAAAAUCAUGAUCAUAGUAGGAAGAGAAUAUACAGUAAUUCUAGAACAUUUCAUUUGAAAAAAAGAAAUUAAAAUAUACCUGCAUUCCCACCUCCUGGGAUUAAACAUUGUGUUUUCUCUUGUCCCCUUCCUAUGUGUAUGUGACAAGUGACUCCAUGCCUUCCAAAUGCUGUUCCCCCGUGUCCUGUCCAAGUCCCCUUUCCUGGCUGUAGCAUCUUUUACCAUCACCCCAAUCCCGCUCCCUAACCUGUCAGUAAUGCUCACUUAUUGAAAGUGCUCAUUCAGGGGAGAUUUGCUUUUGUUCCCCUGGGAUGUUGGUUUCAUUCUUGACUGGUACCCCUUUUUGCUGCCUCCCUAAGCCGUGGAUCUGGAACCUUGCAACCUGUCACUGGAAGCACCCUUAGUUUUCCUCUGCUUCUCACCUGUCCCAACACAGAUCUGAGCAGCAGGGGAGAGAGAAGUCACUCUGUUACCUGCUCCCCAUCACAACCAAGCUGAUGUCCACCAUACUGGGCCACCUGGGACUCUGAGGGUGACAUUGUAGCCCCCACUGUGUUGGUGGUGGUUGUUUUCCUCUCUCACAAAGAAGGGAUGGGGCUCUCUGGUCAACCUCUGAACACUGGUCCCUCAGGACCUUGAAUUUACUGCACUUACUGGAAACUCCCAGGGCCCUCUGGCACUUCGGUCACUUCUGUCCCCACUGCUGGAUGCUCUCCUGUGUGAAACCUCUGCCUCCCUCCCUUUCCCUUUCUCUCACAGCCUCCUGGGGCUUGACCUCCACAGUCAGUGCUCUUACAAGAUUUGGGGGGAAUCAGCAAGACUCCCCCCCUCAGGCCCCUUCCUUCACGCCCACCCUUGCACCUGUGGGGACACAGUAGAUGUAUGUAAACAGACACAUACAGGCCACACAGCUGGAUGCUAGGUAUUCAGUUUGAUCCUGGAGACAUUUAAAGUAGCAGCACACACUGUGAAUUAUGUAAGUUUGAGCCUGAAGACCAACAGGAACCUACUGCAAACUCCAGUGGUAGGAAUCAUUCAUAUGCAGUAUAUACAUGAUCGUUGAUGUCGGACUGUGUUCAUCAAACCAAGCUGCUAGAACACAAUACCAUGGAGUGAGUGCUUUAUAAACAACAAAUGUGCUCCUCCCAGUUCUGGAGGCUGGACUUCUGAGAUCGGCGUGGCUGGGUUCUGGUGAGAGUCUGGUCACAGACAGCAGACUUGUAUCCUCGUGUGGCAGAAAGAAGGAAUGGGUUUGUCUGGGGUUUCUUUUUUAAGGGCACUAAUCCUUUUCAUGGGGGCUACACCCUCCUGACCUAAUUACCUCCUCAUACCACCCUUGUACCAUCACAUUGGGGUCUAGGAUUUUAGUGUAUGAAUUUGGGAGGGAUAAACAUUCAUUUCAUUGCACUGACACAUGGGUGAGUGACACACUGGGAUGGUUUAGUCACAUCCAAAUCUACAGAUUUGCCAUCUAAAUUCAGUCCCCAAGCAAACAUUCCCUCUCCUAUGGACUCCCCUGUGCUUGUCACAGCUGGUGCUGGAUAAAAUACCCAUGAGCUGGGUGACACAUCCUAAAACUGUUCUUUGCUUCAAGGAGAGUGGGUUUGUCUCAAACCACUUUCAGUGUAUGUAGAGCUUGAUUCCCUUGUUUCACACAUUCCUGUUCACCUGGUUACAUGGAGUGGGGUUAUGAUUCACAGGGUGGCCAACUGACAUCCCAGACAACUUGGGGAAAGAAAAGAAGAGAAACAGUCCCUGAAACACAGCAGGAUUAUUGAUUAGAGCUCUUUUCAGAACUCACUGGGCCAGGCUCACUGAGUGUAUUAUGAAGCCAUGCAUUAAAGUUGUUAUCCAGUCAUUGUGAUAACUUAUAAUAUUAACUAACUCUAUUGUGAUAACAUGCAGUCAUUUUACUGUUAUACAUAUUGCUUUUAAAGCCAUUUGUUGUGCCUUUAUGAAGUACCUAGUGGUGCCCUGAAAUGGAGACAUCGCAUAGUUCAAAUGCACUGAGUCUUUGUUAUUCUUUGUUUUGCUUUGUCUCUUCCUCUCAAGAUGAAAUUACAGAUACUUUUGUGGAGAGAGACUCGGACACAGAAGGGUUGGGGGUAGGGGUUUGCUCAUGCUUCUGGGGUCCUCUGGGACACUUUGGCUGUCAGUGCAGAUGGUUUAAGGAAGUGGAAUUGUGAUAAUGUUCCUUUUCUUUGCUCUUCUUUGUCCAAUUUUGAUGUUGCUGAAAUCUGGCAACUCAUGGUUGAUUUUGCUGAUUCACAUCCCUGAUCAUUUGAUAGAGCAUGUAGUUCAAUUCAACCUUAAAUACAAAGGGAACUGAAUUGCCAUUCAAAUAAAGAAGCUUUUCCAUUUUUAGGUAGAAGGAGAUGAUAUGUUUUGUGAAGGCACACAGACCUGAAAUCAACCUGAUGAAUUUUUCAUAUGGCUUUUCAUUUUCUUUCAAUUUAUCCACUAGUUCUCUUUCAACAUCUAACAUUUUCAGCAGCCCAGGCACAGUGAUUCAUGGAUGAGGUACAAGCAUUUUCUAGGUCUAGUUCAGGUGACACACAAGCUGUGGGGACUGUCUUCCCCACACAUACAUUAGGUGGCAAGAGCAAAAUGCACACCACUUUCAUUUUUACCUUGUUUGAUGAACUUGCCUGCAUGAUUGAGUUGUGGUGGUGGUCCUAUAAGUGUUUGUUAACAAGUUGUGGUGAAAAUUCACUGGUUAUGAAGCCGGAGCUUCCAGGCUGCUUAUGCCACUAACUCAUGUCCUCUUGAAACUUCUUUGGGUUCCUGUUCUGCACCACUGUGAACAGGGGAUAGAGCAUGGCUGAGUCCAGUUCAGUUAAAAAAGCUCCUCUCUCUAGGUAAAUUUUAGUGUUGAACUUGUUUUCUAAUUCUGAUAUUUAUUUCAAUCCCACAGUGUUCUAUUGAUGUCAGUCUCUAAUUAUUCUAGGCAACCACGUAAUGAGUGUUGACUCAUUAAAUGUCACAACCACUCUGAGAAGUGGAUGCUGUUUUAUAGGUGGAAAACUGAGGCCCAGGUAAGAUACCUUGUCCAAGGUCAAAGCACCACAGAUAGGACAGGCAUAUAGAAGUUCCUAGCCAGAGGUAGAAUCAGAGAUGUAGCUGAGGGCAUAGCCACAGCAAUGCCAGAUCUGAGAUGCAUCUUUGACCUACACCACAGCUCAUGGCAACACUGGAUCCUUAACCCACUGAGUGAGGCCAGGGAUCAAACCUGCAUCCUCACAGACACUAUUUCAGUUCUUAACCCUCUGAGCCACAACAGGAACUCCCAUUCCUUUUCUUAGAGAAAAAGAGAAAUGCAAGCAUUUCUUGAAAUUGUAGGACUUCAAGAGUUCAGAACUGAUUCAAGUCUAUAUAUCGUGUACCAAUUAAACUUUAAUAUUUUUAAAAGCUAUGUUCGUUUAAUUGAUCCUACUUUAAUGUCUGGCAAUAUGAUUACAUUUUUUUUCUUUAUAUGCCAGCUUAGUUUUCAUGAUUUAUCAGGAUAUUUUUCUUCAAUGUUGAAAGGAUUAAUGAGGAUACAAAAAAUUACUUUUAGACACUUACUUAUCUCAUUACAAUGCAUCCCAUUAUAAAUAAGGUCAAAGAUAUCAGUAGAAGGAUCUUUGUGUGGGGGAUGUAGCAGUUGGCUCAGAUAAAUGUGCACUUACCACUGGGUAGAUGGACUUUGCUAUUUUUCACAAACUGUUCAAUGAGCACAAUGUCAUGUAAUAUACCAACAUACGUGAAGGAAGGUCAGUAGCAAUCAUAAUGUUAAUGCAGCUUUAACAUAAAUGUAUAAAGUCAGUGACUCAGUAGAAGUAUUACAAUUUUCUCUAUCAAGAAACACACUUUGCUAGACCUAAUUAUUUACUCUUUAACAAAUUACUUAGCUAAAUUUGGAAGCUUUAGGGAAUUUAUUAUUAUUAUUACUUAAAAUUUCAUAUUAUUUUUUUCAUUUUUUAAAGUUUUACUGACAUAUAGAUGAUUUACAAUGUUGUGCUAGUUUCUGCUAUCAACGAAGUGAUUCAGUUAUAUGUGUACACACAUCCAUUCUCUUUCAGAUUCUUUUCUUACCUACAUUAUUAUUAUUAUUUAAACAAACAUAGUUGGCACAAGGCCUCACCUUGAGUUACUUUAAGGUGACUUCUUGGGGUAAAGACAUGCUCAGAGGUGCUGCGCAGGUGGGCAGGGGAGGAUUCACAUCCCUGUGGGGACCAGGGUAUAAGCACAGGUGUGUGAGCUUCUGUCCCUGAUCUCAGAGAGGUGACUUUCAGAUCUGGGUUGCAAGGGAUUGUUUUAGAUAACUGAAAUAUUACUUCCAUGAAUUUCCUUUAUUAGGUAAUUAACACUACCAGUUAUAAGAAAUAAAACUUGGCAAGCUAGGGCCUGUAGCCAACAAAGGUUAUUUCUGUUCACGUCACUGCCACUGUGGGUUCAGCAGGCAGCCCACCUAAACCAGGCAGGCAGCAACACAACAUGCGUGUGUUACUCAGUGUCAUUUAUCAAACACAUCAUCAAAUACACAGAGACCGUAGCUUCCAUUAGAUCUCGUAGCAAGUGUAUGGACAUUUCUAGUGUUCUUAAUCUCCCGCCCUUGCCCAAAAUAUACAUCUUGGAGCCCCUUCAUCUUCCUUUCUAAUGGAAGCAUGGGUUUUUUCCUUUUUAAACAUUAUUUAAAAGCCAUUGAUAGGAGUUCCCUGUGGCUCAGUGGAUUAAGGACCUAGCAUUGUCACAGCUGUG
rnacentral:lncRNA from 1 species